rnacentral:lncRNA from 1 species
AAAGUGCUGGGAUUACAGGUGUGAGCCACCGCGCCCAGCCAGGAGCCUUGGUUUUCUCAGAUCUCUCGGAGCCUUGGUUUUCUCAGAUCUCUCGGAGCCUUGGUUUUCUCAUCAUCUCUCAGCCUGGAGAGAGGCAAAAAGAGAGGAAAGUUCAGCCAACCGCUCAGUUCAGACCAGGAUUCCAGGUACAUUCAAGAAGAGCGACGGAGCUGGUAUGGUCGUGGGCACCUGUUGCCCCAACUAUUCGAGAGACUGUCUGGGAGGAUCUCUUGAGCGCAGGAGUUCAAGGCCAGCCUGGGCAACAUAGUGAGAUCCUCUCUCAAAAAAAAAAAAAAAAAGGUGUUGAAGGGCCCUGACUCCUAGAGGCUAGUCCAAAGCAUGUCUCCGUCUUCUAGGACUGUGGCCACAAAGCCUCGGGGAAGGGAACGGCCAGGUCAAGGGUGAGGAGCUUGCUUCUGGCUGAUCUUCAGGCUUAGUCUUGAAAUCCCACAUGUUGAGCUGCUGCCCGAGGUGAAUUGAAGCGAGGCCAGGCGAGGCCUGGGAGGAGGACACAGAGCCUCAUGAUGGACGCUUCCCACAGCCCUUCCCUUCUCUUCUUGCUUCGGUUCAGUUCAGCAAGCCUGGCCCUGCUACGCGUGACAGUGAUACAGAAGCCAAGAGGGCCACAGAGGAUGGGGACAACAGGCAAUGGCAGGCGUGAGCCGCCGCGCUAAUUACAGGUAGUCAAUCACCUGCAUUCCUUGGCUUGUCGCUCCCUUCUUCAUCUUCAAAGCCAGCAAUGCUGUGAGCGUGGUGCUCACGCCGGCAAUCCCAGCACUUUGGGAAGCUGAGGUUGGGGAAUCGCUUGAGCCCAGGAGUUUGAGACCAGCCUGGGCAAGAUAGCAAGACCCCAUCUCCAUUUAAAAUAAAAAAUUAACCAGGCAUCUUGGCACAUGCCUGUAGUCCCAGCUACUCAGGAGGUUGUGGCUGGAGGAUCACUUGAGUCUGGGAGAUGGAGGCUGCAGUGAGCCAUGGUCAUACAACUGCACUACAGCCUGGGCAGCACAGCAAAUGUGAGCCCCUCUUCUCCUCGACCAAGGCACGGGGGGGGGCCUCCCUUGCUGCUUUCUCAUCACUUAGGAGUCCCCUCAGAUCCCCCAGGCACCUGAGGGUUGUCUGUGCCCCAAGCACCCCACUUUUGCAACCUUUUCCUCCCUCUGCCUGCCCUGUCCUGGCUGCUCUGUCCUGGUUGAGGCUGGGUGGGGAAGAGGCUGGCCACUGAAUCCACUUGGAGCACAGAGGGGACAGUCCCCCAAGCCAAAAGCACAGAGCAGGGGUGUCAGGGGCUCUCUGUUGCUGAGCCUCCUGCCCGGGAGAGAACAGCCUCAAGAGUGGGAACUGCAUCCUUUUAUGGCAGGUGGCCAGUAAGCCCUCUUAUCAGCUCCUUCCCAGCUC